rnacentral:rRNA from 1 species
UACGGAGGGUGCAAGCGUUAUCCGGAUUCACUGGGUUUAAAGGGUGCGUAGGUGGCUAUUUAAGUCAGUGGUGAAAGCCCGCGGCUCAACCGUGGAAUUGCCAUUGAACUGAAUAGCUUGAGUACAGUUGAAGUGGCGGAAUACAUCAUGAUAGCGGUGAAAUGCUUAGAUAUGAUGUAGAACACCGAUUGCGAAGGCAGCUCACUA